AUAGUCACAGGGGCACAAUUCUGUUCACGGGUGCUUUUAUUUUUUCUGGUCCAGUUUUUUGAAGUUGUUUGUGUCUUAUUGAAUUAUCUUUUACAUUUUUUUGAAUGAAUAUUGUAGGAAAGAUUCCGGCAGUGAAUUAUCUUCUAGAUUGAUAGGUGGGAAGUGAAGAGGAUAAGCCAGAGGAUGAAGUUUAUUGACAGUCACAACAGUACUUUCACAAAAACUCUUCAUAGAUUGUUCCAUUCUAAAAAGAAAAAAACUUUCUAAUUUGUAAAUAAUUACAAGACUAUUUCAGUGAAUUGUUUCUGGAACUGUUUAUAAGCCU
rnacentral:lncRNA from 1 species